rnacentral:rRNA from 1 species
GACGAACGCUGGCGGCGUGCCUAAUACAUGCAAGUCGAACGCAGUGGGGACGGGAGAGUAAUACGUGGGUAACCUCCCAUCAGAGGGGAUAACACUUGGAAACAGGUGCAAAACCGAUACUGAUGGAUGAACCCGCGGUGCAUUAGCUAGUUGGUGAGGUAACGGCUCACCAAGGCCACGAUGCCUAGCCGGCCUGAGAGGGUGAUCGGCAACACUGGGACUGAGACACGGCCCAGACUCCUACGGGAGGCAGCAGUAGGGAAUCUUCGGCAAUGGACGAAAGUCUGACCGAGCAACGCCGCGUGAGUGAAGAAGGUUUUCGGAUCGUAAAACUCUGUUGUUCGGGAGGCGGUAUCUAACCAGAAAGCCACGGCUAACUACGUGCCAGCAGCCGCGGUAAUUC